GGUAGUGACAAGAAAUAACAAUACAGGGCCUGACGGUCUUGUAAUUGGAAUGAGUAAAGUAUAAACCCCUUUACAAGUAUCAAUUGGAGGGCAAGUCUGGUGCCAGCAGCCGCGGUAAUUCCAGCUCCAAUAGCGUAUAUUAAAGUUGUUGCAGUUAAAAAGCUCGUAGUUGGAUUUCUGUUGUAUCAUUAUAUUAUCACCAAGGUAAUAAUAUAAUAUCAACAUCCCUCCUAUUAUAUUUAAUAUAUAGGAAAUUUUACUUUGAGAAAAUUAGAGUGCUUAAAGCAGGCAACUGCCUUGAAUACUCCAGCAUGGAAUAAUAAGCAAGGACUUUUGUCUUUCUUAUUGGUUCUAGGACA
rnacentral:rRNA from 1 species